UAAUAAAUGGUGUAAAGGCACGUUUCAUUUUGGUUGAAAAAGAGAAAGUGUAACUCUUUCUUUAUUAG
rnacentral:tRNA from 1 species